rnacentral:rRNA from 1 species
UACGUAGGGGGCAAGCGUUGUCCGGAUUUAUUGGGCGUAAAGAGCGUGUAGGCGCCAGGUAGGUCCGCUGUGAAAACUCGAGGCUCAACCUCGAGAUGUCGGCGGAAACCAUCUGGCUAGAGUCCGGAAGAGGAGAGUGGAAUUCCUGGUGUAGCGGUGAAAUGCGCAGAUAUCAGGAAGAACACCCGUGGCGAAGGCGGCUCUCUGGGACGGUACUGACGCUGAGGCGCGAAAAGCGUGGGGAGCGAACAGG